rnacentral:rRNA from 1 species
UAAUUGAAGAGUUUGAUCAUGGCUCAGAUUGAACGCUGGCGGCAGGCCUAACACAUGCAAGUCGAGCGGUAGCACAGGGAGCUUGCUCCUGGGUGACGAGCGGCGGACGGGUGAGUAAUGUCUGGGAAACUGCCUGAUGGAGGGGGAUAAC